rnacentral:pre_miRNA from 1 species
UGAGAUUGACCCUUCAGUAGUUACUUAUGCAUAAUACAAGUUACUACAAGCGGAAUCUCAUC